rnacentral:rRNA from 1 species
CCUACGGGAGGCAGCAGUGGGGAAUAUUGCACAAUGGGGGAAACCCUGAUGCAGCGAAGCCGCGUGAGCGAUGAAGUAUUUCGGGAUGUAAAGCUCUAUCAGCAGGGAAGAAAAUGACGGGACCUGACUAAGAAGCCCCGGCUAACUACGGGCCAGCAGCCGCGGUAAUACGUAGGGGGCAAGCGUUAUCCGGAUUUACGGGGUGUAAGGGGAGAGUAGACGGCGGUGCAAGCCAGAUGUGCAAGCCCGGGGCUCAACCCCGGGACUGCAUUUGGAACUGUGCUGCUAGAGUGUCGGAGAGGCAGGCGGAAUUCCUAGUGUAGCGGUGAAAUGCGUAGAUAUUAGGAGGAACACCAGUGGCGAAGGCGGCCUGCUGGACGAUGACUGACGUUGAGGCUCGAAAGCGUGGGGAGCAAACAGGAUUAGAUACCCCAGUAGUC